rnacentral:rRNA from 1 species
GACGCUGGCGGCGUGCCUAACACAUGCAAGUCGAACGGGGUCCAUGGGAGCUUGCUCCCGGAAGACCUAGUGGCGAACGGGUGAGUAACACGUGAGAAACCUGCCCUGGAGUGGGGAAUAACUCGGGGAAACUCGAGCUAAUACCGCAUACCCUCGGAUGGUCGCAUGGCCGACCGAGGAAAGAUUCAUCGCUUCAGGAGGGUCUCGCGGCCUAUCAGCUAGUUGGUGGGGUAACGGCCUACCAAGGCAACGACGGGUAGCUGGUUUGAGAGAACGAUCAGCCACACUGGGACUGAGACACGGCCCAGACUCCUACGGGAGGCAGCAGUGGGGAAUCUUGCGCAAUGGGCGAAAGCCUGACGCAGCAACGCCGCGUGCGGGAUGACGGCCUUCGUGGUUGUAAACCGCUUUCAGCAGGGACGAAAAUGACGGUACCUGCAGAAGAAGCCCCGGCUAACUACGUG